CAUGCCAAUGGCACUGCCCGGUAGCUAAAUGCGGAAGAGAUAAGUGCUGAAAGCAUCUAAGCACGAAACUUGCCCCGAGAUGAGUUCUCCCUGAGACUUAGAGUCUCCUGAAGGAACGUUGAAGACGACGACGUUGAUAGGCCGGGUGUGUAAGCGCAGCGAUGCGUUGAGCUAACCGGUACUAAUGAACCGUGAGGCUUAACCUU
rnacentral:rRNA from 3 species